UAUUGGGUUUCUCUCUCUACGAGUUGUGGCGGCUGCUGACUGCUCGACUUAAGUCUUGAUUAGCUGUGGUCCUUGUAAUUGCCCGCUUCCCCCUAAUCUCUUCCUUUUGGUGUUCGAUUGCUCCAUAUUUACGCACUGCCUUGCUCCAUCCUUUCAACUGUUCUAGUCUUUCGAUAUCGAAUGAGGGCACUAGAGAUGAGUUGAACUGGCUUGUUGCUAGACCAUUCUUUGAUACCUUUUUUGGUCAAUGGCUCGUAAAGGAAACCGACAGAAGUACAGAAAAGGAGUUUCAGAUUCUGGAUCUGGAUUUGUAAAUGAGAAUGAAAACAGUAGUCUGACUGAGGCAGAGGGCAAAAAUGCAGAACCUUUUAAUGGUAAUCUUUCCGGCAUAUCUCUAACAGAGAGCUUCAACAAUACACAUGAAAGUGAAGGCAAGAAAAGCAAGCACAAAUCUAGAAGAUCACUUAAAAAGGAAAAGGAAGAUAUUGAUACAUUGUCAAUUGCAGAGGAAAUAGGGCCUGAAGAAGGCUGUGGUGCAGGAAUUUUCCAAAGUCAUAAAAGUAGAGGGGUGACUCCCGAGUCAAGAGAAGGUGGUGAGACGUCUCCGCACACUAGUCACCGCUCAGACAAUUCAAAUAGAUGUUUUGGCCAGUUCGGAACAGGAUUAGAUAGAGACAAUAUAUUAGAAAAUUUUAAAGUGUCUAUUAUCGUAGUUUUUAGGAACUUGAUGACAUUGGCUCUGUCUGUCUCAAAGGCAUCAAUUCGGUGGUUAGAGAGGUGGAAACCUUUGCUUGACCCUUUAAGGAGAAAUUUAUUAAUUGCGAGUAAGCAUGUUCAAGAAAAGGUUCAUCAUGCAUACCCUAUAGUGGUUCGGUGGAUCAUGCACAAUUUAUUCAUUGCGACUGGGUAUGUUCAAGAAAGGGUUCAGCAUGCAUAUCCUAUAGUGUUAAGGUGGAUCAUGCAUUUUGGAAAUAUAAUUAUUCUAUUAUCAAUGGUUUGGUUGGAUUGUGCUCUUAGAGGAAUUGAGUCCUUUCUAUGCAUGGGGAUGACUUCAAUUCUCUCAGUCAUCUGGUGGGGUGUUCUAUCUUUGAUUGCAGCCGCUAAAUUCAAGUUUCUAUUAAUUUUGGCAGCAGUUGCUGUGAUUGGACUUCUUACUGGGUUCAUCAUCGCAGUUCUAGGAGUUGCUGCAGUGAGCAUCAGUUACUUGUGGUUCUAUGGAAGAUUUUGGGCAGCGGUGCUUCUGGUCUUGAGUGGAGGAGUGCUUUACAGGUUGAAGCAUGAACGGCUUGCGGUGUUUGUCGUAAAUUUGUAUUCUGUAUAUUGCGCAUGGACAUAUGUCGGAUGGCUUGGUUUAAUCUUUGGUUUGAAUUUAUCAUUUAUUUCGAGUGAUAUUCUCAUAUUCUUCUUAAGAAACAAUGUAAAUGAUAAUAGAAGGCCAAACAGCUUUCCUGAUCAAACAACUGGAGUACAAGGUGAACCUAGCUUCUAUUCUGGUGGAUCAGUGCCUCCAUCUGCUGAUGAUGUGUAUGUUCAUACAGCUGAUCGUGGCACUGGGAUCCCUUCAACUAGUGGAUCUGACACUGAUAUGACAUCUGAAGACGAAGUUGUCAGAUUGUUAAACAGUACAGAUCACUAUUCAGCACUGGGCCUGAGCCGAUUUCAGAAUAUAGAUGCUUCAGUUCUCAAGAAAGAAUAUAGGAAAAAGGCAAUGCUGGUUCAUCCUGAUAAAAACAUGGGCAAUGAAAAGGCUGCUGAAGCUUUUAAGAAACUUCAAAACGCCUAUGAGGUCUUACUUGAUUCUUUAAAGCGAAAAGCAUAUGAUGAUGAAUUGAGGAGGGAAGAGCUGCUGGACUACCUUCGGCGGUUCCAAAGUCCUUCACAGAAGGGUAGAGGCUAUGGGUUCUUUACUUCUGGAUUCACACAGACAGAAGCUGCGGCAGAGGAUUCUCUUGCAGACGCUCGACGAAUUACUUGCAAGAAGUGUGGCAACUUUCAUGUCUGGGUUUUCACUAAGAAAACAAAGUCCAAAGCAAGAUGGUGCCAGGAAUGCAAUGAUUUUCAUCCAGCAAAAGAUGGAGAUGGAUGGGUUGAACAGCCUUCACAUCCAUUCUUUUUUGGAAUGCUACUGAAGGUAGAUAAUCCUGUCACCUAUGUUUGUGCUGAUAGCAGGAUCUAUAAUGCUACUGAAUGGUAUAUCUGUCAGGGAAUGAGAUGUCCGGUCAACAGUCACAAGCCAAGCUUCCAUGUAAAUACAAGUGUAACCAUGAAGAGCAGCAAUGGGAAGAGAAGUAGCUCAGGACAAAGAGGCCCAAGUAUGGAAGAAACCAUGACCGAGGAGGAAUUUGUUGAGUGGCUACAGAAUGCUGUACAAUCUGGUACAUUUGGCGAUUUUGAUGGCAGCACACCACAGAGAUCAGCUGGCACUAGUACUAGCAACAACGCUAGUGGAAGCGGAAGUGGAAGCAAGAGAAAGAAAAAGGGGAAGAAGCAAUGUGGCUAACACUUCGGUUCUGUGCUUCUCUUCUACCAGAGAAGUUUCAAAGCUUCUUAUAAGCCAAAAAGGCAUAGUUCAUGGCUAGUAGUGACCCAAAAGCAUGCACAACCUCCGGAGUAGUAGGCUAUUUGGAGGAA